rnacentral:tRNA from 1 species
CUUGUUUUGGAGGAAUAGCUCCAUAAGUUUAGAACUUAUUCAUACUGCAAAGUAGACAAGA